UACGUAGGGGGCCAGCGUUGCUCGGAAUUACUGGGCGUAAAGGGUUCGUAGGUGGUGCGGUAAGUUGGAAGUGAAAUCUUUGGGCUUAACCCAGAGGCUGCUUUCAAAACUGCCGUGCUCGAGUGCGAGAGAGGUCAGUGGAAUUGCAGGUGUAGCGGUGAAAUGCGUAGAGAUCCGGAGGAACCCCAGAGGCGAAGGCGGCAGCCUGGUUGGCUCCUGACGCUCGGACACGACAGCAUGGGGAGCGAACGGG
rnacentral:rRNA from 1 species